AGAAAUAUCCAGAAAUAUAUGCUACUCCAUUCUUCCAACAAUACUUAUCCAUUAUAUAAAAUUUAUGGAUAAAUUUACACUUUUAGUUCCUAAUAUAUCCUUAUCAUUAAUUAUAAGCGACAUACAAUAAACAACAGAAUGCUCCCAACCAAACAAUUGUCGGGAUAAAAUAAAUAAUGAUGAGAUAAAAUUUUGUAACUUGUUUGGUUGCCGUGUUUAGGAUAAUUUAUUCCAUCAUUUAUAUCAUAAUAAUAAAAUAAGUUAUGGCUAAUUCAGGAAUAACUUGUUCCCAACCAAAUGACCAUAUCAUACCGAACAAGAUAACUAAAUUAUAAAGCCAAAAGGUACGUUCCCGCCAUUCAAUUUUUUCCAAACAGAUGAGAACGCUUUCUUCUAUAUAAAAAGACUUGGGAAAGAUCUAUCCUCUAUUUAUCUUCGUAGUGCAUUUACUCUCAACUCACUCUCUUUCCUCCCCAGUCCUUACUGCAAUUCAUUAUCAAAUUCUUGAAAUUUCUUGAAGUUACUCUGUUACUCAUGCCAUUAUUUAUUUCAUUAGUAACAGUUCCUGUAUUGGGCAGGGAACAAAAUCAUGGUCUUGACUAUGGAAACUUGUAAUGUUCAUCAAUCAUCUCCAUAUCAAUUCCUUGCUAGGGUUCAAGAUACCAACAUUUGCUUCAAUUAAAGAAGAAGAAGUAACCCAUGAGGAUUCCAGUUACUUUUGUUACUCUUGUGAUUAUUUAUUUCUAUUAGUAAAAACGUUUCUAUAUUGUGCAGGGAAAAAAGAUCAUGGUUUUUGAGUCUUGACUAUGGGAACUUGUAAUAUUCACUUUCGCUCUAAAUAUGUACUCAUUGCUAGGGUUCAAGAUACCAACACUCGUUUUAAUUCUUGAAAUUUAAAGAAGGAAAAGUUAACUCAUGAGGAUUUACAGUUACUCCUUGGGUGAAGUAUGUUAUGCAAUUUUCCUUCUUUAGGAAAAAAUAUUGAUAUCUCCUGAACCAUUUCAGGGGACAGCUUUAAAUUGACCUCUUGCGUAGGGCUUUGGGCAUAUUGUCACUUAGUUUUUUUUUUUUUCUUUUUAAUUUUAUGAAGUAAGUACAUUCAUUGUUGGCAUCAAGAAAGAAGAAGAUAUUAUAGAGAUGCUGUCAAAUUCAUUACAAUUGUCUAUGCUACAAAAAGGUUAUACCAAAAAUAUUUAGUUAGCCCAAGCCCCAAUGAGGCAAAAAACUAUUUUAUGUGCAACUUCCUCUUAGGCUUGUAUAUGUGCUUUAGUAUCCUUCAAUAACUGCACCCGUUGUCUUGGAUUUGAUCAUUAGAUAUCUCAAGCAGUUCUUGUUUCCUAUUCAUCUUCCUAUUAGUUACACUCCAAAUCGUUCUCUCCCCUUAUGAAUAUCAACUAUGGCAAUGCAUUUCUACGGUUCAAGAUACUAAGACUCGCUUCAUAUGGCGGUGCCUAACAGAGUUGAAUAAUUCCAUGUUGCCAUUAUUUUUCUUGACAUUUAAAGAACGAGAAGGUAACUCAUGAGGAUUUCCUGUUGAUACAUACAACUGUAUUUCUUCUGUUACUUAUGUAGAUCAUGUGAUUAUUUAGUGACUUUGAUGGGAUUAUUUCUAUUAGUAGCUGCAUUAACUGGUUCUAAAUUGUGCAGGGACAAAGAUCUACUGUCAGCUGUGCAAGGAAAAAUAUUUCUGUUAUGCGACUGGUUCUCCUGUAUUCUCACAUUUGUCACUGGUCAAGCUUUUUCUUAGGGCCGAUGAUUAGUCCUUGGGGCUCUUUGAACCAGAUACGGAGAUGCUAUGUCUAUGCUAUACUCAGUAGCUACAAGAUUAGAGCCAGCAUUGCACUUGUGUUUGAUAACAUCUUUACAAAGUACAGUGAUUUUACAGACAACUGUAUGUCUAUUCAAGUGCAAAUCCACGGAGCUGAAUCCCUUCCUCAGGUAAUAUGCAGAGUCUGAUGUUCUUGAGAUAUCAAGGAAGCAUAGGAUGAUAACAACACGGUCAUUGAGCGGGCAGCCACUAAGGUGAUGAAAACAUUGUUUACAAGAAAGCCAACUUGUGCGUACUGCACGUGAGUACUAUAUCAAACUUGGAGCAACUUUUGUCAAUGGUGAAGCAAGUUCCCCCAGCAUCGGUGCGAGAUGCUAUUCAGCCUGCAAUGGAAGCACUGGUUACAGAUGGAGUUCUACGGCAUCCUGACAUAGAUGUGAAGGUAUCAGUUGCAUCUUCCAUGAGUGAGAUCAUCAGAAUUACAGCUCCAGAUCAACCAUAUAAUGAUGCCAGACUUGAGGCAAGUACAACUCACAGUCUU